rnacentral:sRNA from 1 species
UGAAAUCCUGACAGGGAUCCCGGCUCACCAAAAUGGGAUGUUUGGACCUCACUCCCUGCCUUCUUAUUUUAGAACCUAUGAUGAUGUCGUAAGCAUUUCUAAAAUCUUGUCAGCGGAAGGUGUCGCCACAGGUAUAAUAGGUCUUGAAAGCCUGGGCCCUGAAUCUGUAUUUGGAUUCAAUUAUCGACAGACGGACUCCAAUCACGAUGACCUGAGCAUAGGCCGAAAUAUUUCCUUCAUCAGCAGCUACGUUAAGGACUUCCUAACACAACACAGGCGAGAAAAUUUUUUUCUGGUUGUUUCCC